AAAAAAUUAGUUAAGUUUAUAAUAUAAAUAUGUCAUAUUUAAGUAAUUAGUAUAAUAAUAUUUUUUG
rnacentral:tRNA from 1 species